GCCAGGGCACAUCUGAUGGCCGAGCGGUCUAAGGCGCUGCGUUCAGGUCGCAGUCUCCCCUGGAGGCGUGGGUUCGAAUCCCACUUCUGACA